rnacentral:rRNA from 1 species
UGGACGAAAGUCUGAUGGAGCAACGCCGCGUGAGCGAAGAAGGCCUUCGGGUCGUAAAGCUCUGUUGUUAGGGAAGAACAAGUAUCGGAGUAACUGCCGGUACCUUGACGGUACCUAACCAGAAAGCCACGGCUAACUACGUGCCAGCAGCCGCGGUAAUACGUAGGUGGCAAGCGUUGUCCGGAAUUAUUGGGCGUAAAGCGCGCGCAGGCGGUCCUUUAAGUCUGAUGUGAAAGCCCACGGCUCAACCGUGGAGGGUCAUUGGAAACUGGGGGACUUGAGUGCAGAAGAGGAAAGCGGAAUUCCACGUGUAGCGGUGAAAUGCGUAGAGAUGUGGAGGAACACCAGUGGCGAAGGCGGCUUUCUGGUCUGUAACUGACGCUGAGGCGCGAAAGCGUGGGGAGCAAACAGGAUUAGAUACCCUGGUAGUCCACGCCGUAAACGAUGAGUGCUAAGUGUUAGGGGGUUUCCGCCCCUUAGUGCUGCAGCUAACGCAUUAAGCACUCCGCCUGGGGAGUACG